rnacentral:rRNA from 1 species
CUACGGGGCGCAGCAGUGAGGAAUAUUGGUCAAUGGGCGAAAGCCUGAACCAGCCAUGCCGCGUGAAGGAUGACGGCCCUAUGGGUUGUAAACUUCUUUUAUACGGGAAGAAACACCUCUACGUGUAGAGGUUUGACGGUACCGUACGAAUAAGCAUCGGCUAACUCCGUGCCAGCAGCCGCGGUAAUACGGAGGAUGCAAGCGUUAUCCGGAUUUAUUGGGUUUAAAGGGUACGUAGGCGGAAACUUAAGUCAGUAGUGAAAUCCCGCAGCUUAACUGUGGAACUGUUAUUGAUACUGGGUUUCUUGAAUAUUGUUGAGGUAGGCGGAAUAAGUAAUGUAGCGGUGAAAUGCUUAGAUAUUACUUAGAACACCGAUUGCGAAGGCAGCUUACUAAGCAAUUAUUGACGCUGAGGUACGAAAGCGUGGGGAGCGAACAGGAUUAGAUACCCUUGUAGUC